rnacentral:sRNA from 1 species
AGUCAUCGAACGACGCACUCCUCCUCCCAGUGUCGUUCGAUACGGAUCGACAACAUCCUCCUCCUCCCAGUUGUCGAUCAAGUUUAAAGCCUGGCGCAUCCUCCUCCCGCGCCAGGCUUUUCGC